rnacentral:rRNA from 2 species
GCGGCGGACGGGUGAGUAAUGCCUAGGAAUCUGCCUGGUAAAGGGAAACGCUAUAUAUCCCCCGCAUAAACGUCUCCUCACGGGAGGAAAAAAGUGGGGGGGAUCUUCUGGGGACCUCCCACGCUAUUUCCAGAAUGAGCCCCUAGGUUCGGGAUUAAGCUUAGUUGGGUGAAGGUAAAAGGGCUCCACCCAAGGGCGGACGGAUCCGGUUAACUGGUUCUGAGAAGGAUGGAUCCAGUCACCACUGGGAACUGGAGACCACGGUUCCCAGACUCCUUACGGGGAGGCCAGCCAGUGGGGGAAUAUUGGACCAAUGGGCGGAAAGCCCUGAUCCCAGCCCAUGCCGGCGUGUGUGAAGAAGGUCUUUCGGAUUGUAAAAGCACUUUAAAGUUGGGAGGAAAGGGCAGUAAGGUUAAUACCUUGGCUGUUUUGACGUUACCCAACAGAAUAAGCACCGGCUAACUUCGUGCCAGCAGCCGCGGUAAUACGAAGGGUGCAAGCGUUAAUCGGAAUUACUGGGCGUAAAGCGCGCGUAGGUGGUUCGUUAAGUUGGAUGUGAAAGCCCCGGGCUCAACCUGGGAACUGCAUCCAAAACUGGCGAGCUAGAGUAUGGCAGAGGGUGGUGGAAUUUCCUGUGUAGCGGUGAAAUGCGUAGAUAUAGGAAGGAACACCAGUGGCGAAGGCGACCACCUGGGCUAAUACUGACACUGAGGUGCGAAAGCGUGGGGAGCAAACAGGAUUAGAUACCCUGGUAGUCCACGCCGUAAACGAUGUCGACUAGCCGUUGGGGAUCCUUGAGAUCUUAGUGGCGCAGCUAACGCAUUAAGUCGACCGCCUGGGGGAGUACGGGCCGCAAGGGUUAAAACUCAAAUGAAUUGACGGGGGGCCCGCACAAGCGGUGGAAGCAUGUGGGUUUAAUUUCGAAAGCAACGCGAAAGAACCUUUACCAGGGCCUUGGACAUGCAAAAGAACUUUUCCAGAAGAUGGGAUUGGGUGCCUUUCGGGAAACUCCUGAACACAGGGUGCUGGCAUGGGCUGUUCCGUCAGCUCCGUGUCCGUGAAAAUGUUUGGGGUUUAAGUUCCCCGUUAACGAGCCGCCAACCCCUUUGGUCCCUUUAGUUUACCCAGCCACCGUUUAAAGGGUGGGGGCACCUCCUAAAGGGAAGAACUGGCCCGGGUGGAACAAAACCCCGGAAAGGAAAAGGGUGGGGGGGAUUGAACCGUUCCAAAGUUCCAUUCCAUGGGGGCCCCUUUACACGGGCCCUGGGGGGCUUAACACGUGCUACCGUGGGCGGUACAAAGGGUUGCCAAGCCGCGAGGUGGAGCUAAUCCCAUAAAACCGAUCGUAGUCCGGAUCGCAGUCUGCAACUCGACUGCGUGAAGUCGGAAUCGCUAGUAAUCGUGAAUCAGAAUGUCACGGUGAAUACGUUCCCGGGCCUUGUACAC